rnacentral:rRNA from 1 species
UACGAAGGGUGCAAGCGUUAAUCGGAAUCACUGGGCGUAAAGGGUGCGUAGGCGGUUCGUUAAGUCUGUCGUGAAAUCCCCGGGCUCAACCUGGGAAUGGCGAUGGAUACUGGCGAGCUAGAGUGUGUCAGAGGAUGGUGGAAUUCCCGGUGUAGCGGUGAAAUGCGUAGAGAUCGGGAGGAACAUCAGUGGCGAAGGCGGCCAUCUGGGACAACACUGACGCUGAAGCACGAAAGCGUGGGGAGCAAACAGG